rnacentral:lncRNA from 1 species
UCUGGGAGACAGCAGUGCAGGGGUUCUGCUGUCCUCCAGGUCUCGUUUGGUUUAACCCCGUUGUUAUGAUGAGUUUUAACUUAUAGUUUUAACUCUGAGUGAUCCACAUGGAUCUUUUGUGCAUGUCACCUAGUGUUGACUGUGUUUUAAGGUUAACUCUGAUUUAGUUUUUAGACUUUUAUCAACGUCAUUGUGUUUUAAAACACCUUCAGUUUAGGUAAAACUUUUAAUAAAGUUUUAACCAGGUGUUUUAUAUAGUUGAUAAUUUGUCUUUUAACUGUUAACCUUAUAGUGAAGUUUUCGUUUUGCAUUAUUUUAAUAAUGCUCGCCGUCUGUUUGCUCUUGUUUUUAGAACCUUUUAUCACAAUUAAACCUAUUUUAAACGCCACUGUCGUUUUUCUUAUGUUACCCCCUCCUUCACAUUUUAACAUCUCCUGUUGGGGACAUAACAUUGGGAUGAGACCCUCGCCGACCCUGGUGUGGAGGGUCAAGCCUUGAAGUGGACGGUUUGUGGAUGCUACAGGUGAGUGACCCAGAGACCAAAGGAAGCUUUUCUACAGGAUCUUGUUGCAGAUUUGAAAAAACAAACACACACAAAACUAUUUGUGCAGUUCAAACUAAUAAAAAUCAGUGAUGUAAGAUAAAUAAAAUCAUCUUUGGAUCUCUUCUUCCUGCAGCACCAGACCGCGGGCCAGGGGGGCUAAUCGGGAAGACCGAGCUAAUAUUUGGGCCUCAGUUCAUAAUCAGUGCCUUGCAAAAGUAUUCAUGACCCUUGAACUUCAACCACAAACUCAAAUGUGUUUUAUUGAGAUUUUCUGUUAGACCUACGUAGGAUUUGACUGUGAAGUGGAAUGAAACUGGUAGCAAAUGCACCGUUUUGUAAGCGGUCACAAUUAAUAAACUGUCAACGAAAUAUGAAAAGUAUUCAACAAGACGUAACGCUCCAUAAAACUAUGAAUCCCUAAUAUUAUUGACCCUUUAAUAUGGGACUGACUCUGGAAUAGGGUCCAGGGAAGCCGGGGCACCAGCAAUUACCACUAAGUUACACAGAAGCAAAAAUAUAGUUUAUAAAAAUCCAUUUAUUACUUUAUUUCUACGACAAAUUUACAAGACAGCUGUAGAUGAAUGAGUAUUCAAGGGAAAAUCAGCUGAGACAAUAAUCAAACUUUAAUGAAACUUAGAUGUUAUUAAGAGUCUAAUUAGGCGACUUAGGAAAGAAUGUGAUAUCUGGGAUUAUUAGAAUUAUCCGGCUGCAUUUACUGAUGCUUGGUUAGUUUUCAAAUACAUUUUAACCCAUCCGAUGCCCGUGUGCAGAGCUACGGUGCCCGCGUGAUGAGGGUUCUCAGACAUCCAGCUUGCAGCAAAGUCGUCUCGACAAUAGGGCUGCAACAAACGAUUAUUUGGAUAAUCGAUGAAUCGGAUGGGGUCUCGACACGAUUAAUCGAUUAAUCGGAUUACAUGGGGAAAUUUUUAAAAACUGCUAGGGAAACAUUAUUUCUCUCCUUCCUUCACUUUAUUUAACACAACAUUAUUAGAAAACAGUUCAAUAGCAGAAAAACAACAUGCCAUCACCUAAAUUGUCUUAUAAGGUGUAUAGACAGAGACCCUAAGCUACAUCUAUCUGUGACCUAAAAUGCUUGGUCCAAGUUAAACAGCUUAAGGGCAAUUCUCAUCUGUUUUGUUUGAUCUCAUCUGUUGACAUUUAUUUUAAAUGUAAUUAAACAUAGGCUGUGAAUUAAUCAAAAUUGAUCACUAUUUCCAAAAAUGACUGAAAAAAUACCAAAUAAAACAAAAGUAAAUGAAUGCCAUCCUCCUUGCGAUGAUGCCCUGGGCAACUGCCAUAAAGUCACAUCAAGAAAUGCUGCUGAUCAUUCCAAUGAUCCCAAAUAGACUCACAUUAGGCCACAUGAAAGCAACUGAACCCAAAAAUAUAUUAACCAGUAUAUAACUGCACUCUCACACAACACGCCUGCAGCAACAGUUAGGACUCCUCCCUCCCUUUUAAAAGCGUUUUUGCUUCUGAGGACAUUGUGGUUGUAAAACCACAUGCUAGUAGUCUGGCCCCGGUGUGAUCAACCAGUUUCUGCGGGAAUGUGACGGCGGAACCAGGGCCAGAUUAACACUUUGUUGUACCCUGGGCAACAAUAUUCAAGGGCUCCAUCAUCACGACCCAAGGAUCACCAUAAUGUGGUCACAUACAGAAUAUUUUACUGUAAUAUGCAGUAAAUAUACUCAAUACUUGAAUGCCUGACAACACGUAACC